CACACACACACUCUCACACUCAAACUCACACUCACAGUUUUCUUUUUCUUCAACAGGUGCCUCACCAUCCCUCCCUCAAACUUUAUAUUCCAAUCAGGGGCCUUCUCUGAGAUUUAUGGUACCCUACCUGGACCGAGAUGCACCUUGGGUUCGAACCAGGGAUACCAGAAUCUUCAGGGGACAUCUGCUCACUUUGGGGUACCCUUCGAGUUCUCAAGAAUCUGCUCACUUUGGGAUACCCUUCGAGUUCAUUGGAACCACAGACUGCAAGCUGAACUGCAUAAUCUUCCUCAAAUCUGACCUUCCCCUCAGGAUUCUUCUGUCCCCUUUGGGGUACCUCUACUGGGACCAAGACACACCCUGGGUUUGAACCAGGUCACCUGCCUCCCUGCCCUCAACCUGACCUUCCCCUCAGGGGCCUUCGUCCCUCUUUUGGGUAUCAAUAGCAUGUCUGAAACACUCCCUGCGUCGAAUCAGGGUCUCCAGUGUUCUCGGGGCCCAGUGCCGGGGCUGACGGUAAGGCACUUUCAUCCGUGGGGGACCCAGGAUAGCUUCUCGAGGUCGUGAUUACUUUUCUCUACCACUGGUACACCUCCUCACCUCCCUCACUAUUUUCCUUUACCUCAGGGGACUUAUGCUCGCUUUGGGGUAACCUUCGCAUUCCCGCGAUUCACCCUACAUUUGAACCCGGGUCUGUAGGGUCACCAAGGCCCAGCGAAGGGGCUGAUGGGAAGGCAUUUGGUCCGUGGCGACCCAUGCCCCUAUUCUCGAGGUUGCAAAUUUUUUUUCUGCAACUGGCGCCUCACCAUACCACCCUCCAACCUUAUAUUCCAAGCAGGGGAUCUUCUCUCUGAUUCGUGGUACCACUGUCUGGACCGAGACACAGCCUGCGUUCAAACCAGGUAUGCCAAGCUCUCCAAGUACCUGUGCAGGGACUCAUGGGAAGGCACAUUCGACUGUGGAAACCAGGAACGCUUCUUGGCGGCAUGUUUUUUUUAUUCUUCAACAUGUGCCAAACUACCCUCGCUCUAACAUUACUACCCUCACUCCAACCCUCUUUGGAGAGAGGGUAGUUGGCACAUGUUGCAGAAUAAAAAAACGGAUGGAGGCUCCCCUCAGGAGCCUCCAGCUCACUUUGUGGUACCCUUAACGGGCCUGAAAGGCACCCUAAGUUUGAACCACGGACCCCAGGGUUCCCUCUGCCCAGCGAUGGGGCUGAUCAGAAGGCACUUUUGUCCCUCGGGAGCUCAGGGACACUUCCCGUCUGCAAGUUUUAUUUUUCUUUUUCUGCCACAAGAGCCCCAUAUGCCCUCCUAAACUCAAUUCCCCUCUGGGUCUCUGUCCGUUUUGGAGUACUCCUCUAGGGCCCAUAACACACCCUGAUUUUGAACCAUGGAUGCCAGGGUCCCCAGGGAAUGACCCACAGACUGGUGAUAAGGCACUUUUACCUGUGGUGGACUCAGGAACGCUUCUCAGUUGCACGAUUUUCUUUCUUUUUUUUCUUCCACCAGUGCCUCAACUCCCUUCCCUGACAGUUUACCUUUCCCUCAGGGGCCUUUUGCCCACUUUGGGGUACCCCUAGCGAACCCAAGAUGCACCCUGUAUUUGAGCCAGGGAUGCCAGAGUCCCCGGUUCACAGCAUAGGGGCUUAUUUAAGGCACUUUCAUAUAUGGGGGACACAGGCCCCGUAUCUCAGUAGAGCAUUUGUUUUCCUUUCUCUCAGUUGCCUCAUCUCCCGGCACCUUACCUUCCACUCAGGGGCCUUCUGCCAGGGUUGUGGUACACCUAGUGUGCAUGAGAAACAACCAGGAUCUGAACCAGGGACAUAAGGGUCAACAGGUAGUGCAGGGGCUGAUGGGAAGACACAUUCGUCCAGGGAUGACCCAGGAACGCUUCUUGGUAGUUUGUUUUUUAUCUUUUCUGCCACAGGUGCCCCAACUUCCCUCCCUCAAACCUUAAUUUCCCCUCGGGGGCCUAAUACCCUCUUUGUUUUACCACUACCGGGUCCAAGACGCACCCUGGUCUGGAAACAGGGAAGCCAGGUCCUUGGGACCAAGCACAGUGGCUGAUGGGAAGGCAGUGUCUUUCCUGGGGGAUGCAGGAACGCUUCUCGCCAGUGUGUUUUUGGUUUUUUCCCCAUGCAGCUGACACACAUCCCCUUCCUCAAACCUUACCUUCCCCUCAGGGUUCUUCUGUCCACUUUGGGGUACCACUAGUUUGUCAGAGACUCACCCUGGAUUUGAAGCACUUACGUGAGGGUCCCUGGGGCCUAGCACAGGGCCUUAUGGGAAGGUA